GAAAACCACGGUGGUACAGGAUGGGCCCGCGUCUGAUUAGUUAGUUGGCAGGGUAACGGCCUACCAAGACGAUGAUCAGUAGCCGGCUUGAGAGAGUGGACGGCCACAUUGGGACUGAGACACGGCCCAGACUCCUGCGGGAGGCAGCAGUGGGGAAUAUUGCACAAUGGGGGGAACCCUGAUGCAGCAAUGCCGCGUGGGUGAAGAAGCACUCCGGUGCGUAAAGCCCUGUCAGCAGGGAAGAAAAUGACAGUACCUGACCAAGAAGCCCCGGCUAACUACGUGCCAGCAGCCGCGGUAAUACGUAGGGGGCAAGCGUUAUCCGGAUUUACUGGGUGUAAAGGGAGCGCAGGCGGUAUGGCAAGUCAGAUGUGAAAACCCAGGGCUCAACCCUGGGACUGCAUUUGAAACUGCCAUACUGGAGUGCCGGAGAGGUAAGUGGAAUUCCUAGUGUAGCGGUGAAAUGCGUAGAUAUUAGGAGGAACACCAGUGGCGAAGGCGGCUUACUGGACGGUAACUGACGCUGAGGCUCGAAAGCGUGGGGAGCAAACAGGAUUAGAUACCCUGGUAGUCCACGCUGUAAACGAUGAAUACUAGGU
rnacentral:rRNA from 1 species